rnacentral:rRNA from 1 species
GACGAACGCUGGCGGCGUGCUUAACACAUGCAAGUCGAACGGGCCCGCCCCUGUUUUUGGGGGUGGGUUGAGUGGCGAACGGGUGAGUAUCACGUGAGUAACCUGCCCCCUGCUCCUGGAUAACUGCUUGAAAGGGCGGCUAAUACGGGGUGUGCCGGCUGGUCCGCAUGGGCCUGGUCGGGAUAGUUUCAUCUUCGGGUGUUUCGGUGGGGGAUGGGCUCGCGGCCUAUCAGCUUGUUGGUGGGGUGAUGGCCCACCAAGGCGGUGACGGGUAGCCGGCCUGAGAGGGUGGGCGGCCACACUGGGACUGAGACACGGCCCAGACUCCUGCGGGAGGCAGCAGUGGGGGGUAUUGCACAAUGGGCGGAAGCCUGAGGCAGCGACGUCGCGUGAGGGAUGGAGGCCGUCGGGUUGUGAACCUCUUUCUCCGGUGGUGAAGGCCCUGUCCGUUGCGGCGGGGUUGACGGUAGCCGGGUAUGAAGCGCCGGCUAACUACGUG